rnacentral:lncRNA from 1 species
AACUGGGGCAUUACAAAUGUAAUAAUAAAAAAAGAAAGAAGAGGGUGAAAAACAAAAUGAAAAAAGUCAAAAAUAAAAAAAAAAAAUUCAAAAAAAGAAAGAAAAUAAAAGGAAAAAUGAUACCCUCAAACCCCAAGUUGACUGAAGCUGAAUGGAUUCAGAGUCGUUACGACCAGUUGAAUUUGAUUAAAGAGAAGCGAUU